GUCCAGAUUUCCAAGAAGAGAUUGGAAUGCCUGAGCUGGGCUAUCACACUUGGUGGCCUACCAGCCUUCUCACAGAGCCCUCCAGAGGAUAAGAUAUUUUCUACGACAAGAAAGAGUUCAUACACUGGAGUGGCAAGCACAGGACGUGUUUGUGGGAUUGCCAUGGAGUCUCAGGGAAGGCUGGAAAGAGAAGAACAGUGCCUAGCACAGAAGUGAACUUACCCAGCACGAGCAAGCAGAUCUGGCUGGAGGCUUUCACACAGUGCAGCUUUGGGACUCUACUUGCCACCCACCACUCGAGUUGGCAGAGGGUCAAUGCCCAGUGGACAGCUCUGCAGCUGCUCUCAUGUUCCAUCCCACUCACAAUGGUUGUGAGGAGUCUGCAUCCUAUGUCCUAGUGCCUGGGGAGGACCCUAGGGCUCAGCAAAGGUGAACACAGAGCUCAACCUUCAGUGAAGAAAGAGCUGGAAUUCAGAGAUUCCAAACCUUGUGCUAUUC